GCUGAAACUGUAUAUAAAGAAAAGCUUGGCGUUCAUCCGGUCUCAUUCUUCCGCGGCGCUUCAGGGACUCACUCGUAUCCGGAGGAUUGACUGCACGCGUGAGACAACUGAAAUGUGGUGUGAAUCUGGAAAAUGGGGUCAAAGGAACAUGUGCAGCGAAGUUAAUUUGAAAGGUUGUUUUCGUUCCUGGAACAAGAGAUAUGAAGAUACCAUCAGCUGAGUAAGCAUGAGUUCUGCAGGGGUGAACGCAUAUCUGCAGGAGUUCUACAGGGGUGCAAGGGUUUACUCCUAAUUCUGGCUGUGAAGAGAUCAGCAGCUGUCUGAAUGUUCUUCAGAGACUGAUGACCAGCAUGAUGUGCUGAUGGCAGGCACUGCAUGUGCUCAUUGACAGGUGUUGUUGACUGCUAUUCGUGGUGUGCAAAUAUGAAUGCAGCAUGUGCUUGUAAAGGGGAGCACAAGAUUAUCCAGGAUGGCUCUGGAAACCCAUAUGGUAUAAGCCAUGUUGCCUGCAUCUGACUCUUCUGAAUGGUGGUCCAGAGCUUCGGUUCUUGUUUUCUGAUUUUGAAGUCCCUUGUCUCUGAGGCAAUUAAGUGACGCUCCUCUACACUUGUUACAACCAAGUUUGUAAAGUGUAAUUAUUACAAUAAAGUUACAAAAUCAAAGGUCUGUUUCAAGUUUAUAAGGUGCUUGAUGUACUUGUAUAUGUGGGUUGGUUGAUCUCUUGUCAAGGCUGUCAAAUUAACAUGCCUUUUCAGACAUUUGGUAGUAUGCAAGGACUAAUGGAAAAUAAGCAUGGAAGCACAUUUCUUACAUGUGCUUUGCAUCUCAAAACUGAUUUAAUAAAGUUGUGACAAGACUUGUAA